UUUAAAGGAAACCAAAAUGAGAUGAGGGCAUUUGAUUCUUCUAAGUCCUGGAUGAAGAGAAAUACCAAACCCACAAAGAUAACAACUCAGAUGAAGUGGAUUUAGGCCUCCAAGAUCAGGCAAAAGAUGAUAAAGGCUAAGUGACUAACUGUUGCAUCACCAUCGCCCCUUAGGAGUGAGCACUGCCAUCUGUCUCCUUGACAGUCGAAUGCUACUGUGAUAGUGAGAAAGAAGGCCAAAUUCAUGGGUGAGAGAAACAGUGAAAGUGUUGUUGUGUUGAUUUUGAGAGAUGG
rnacentral:misc_RNA from 1 species